UACGGAGGAUCCAAGCGUUAUCCGGAUUCAUUGGGUUUAAAGGGUGCGUAGGCGGAAGAAUAAGUCAGUGGUGAAAGCCUUCAGCUUAACUGAAGAGGUGCCAUUGAUACUGUUUUUCUUGAGUGCAGAUGAAGUGGGCGGAAUGUGUCAUGUAGCGGUGAAAUGCAUAGAUAUGACACAGAACACCGAUUGCGAAGGCAGCUCACUAAACUGUAACUGACGCUGAGGCACGAAAGCGUGGGGAUCAAACAGG
rnacentral:misc_RNA from 1 species